AUUGCUUCUUGUCCCAGGAACAACACAAAAUCGUGAAUACCAGAAAUGGCACUGACCAACUCUCGGCUUACUGAGUGGACUGGUUCUGUAGCUGCCUUAAUAUCUUCAGGACAAGUCUGACCGGAAUAAUUCCAUACAGCAUCAUCAGGAGCAUGCAAUUCCUCAGGAACACAACUUCCAGACUGCUGAUUUAAAGUAUCAUGUACAUCCUGCACAACACGUUUAACAUCCUCUAAAAUUUUCCCCAUAUCAGCAUCUUUAGGCAUAGACUCAAGUAACAGAGAAAUUCUUGACUGCAGCUUCAUCAAGGGUGGCUGCUCUGCAUUAGAUCNNNNNNNNNNNNACUGCUGACAAAUCCAUUUUUGAAGAUACACGAUUCACUAAUGGAUCCAAAAUAGAUUGUCCUUCAGACAGGGUACCCUUGACCGAAGCGGCAUCUACUGAAGGAUCACCAUUCAGAAUUUCAGAUGUCUUAUUGUUUGGAGAAUCUGAAAUUGUCAUGGCACCAUCUGCAUUUAAGCAAGCCAACUUCUCC
rnacentral:misc_RNA from 1 species